rnacentral:tRNA from 1 species
GAUAGUGUGGCCGAGUGGUGUAUGGCGCUGGUUUUAGACACCAGUCUAUUCGAAGGCAAGGGUUCGAAUCCCUUCACUGUCA